rnacentral:lncRNA from 1 species
GGCCUGGGUCCGCAGAUAACGCCAACGCCGUCGCUGCUUCUGCUGCCUCACGGCCGGCGGCGCCUCUCGCGGUUGCUAGUCACAGGAGGGAGGUGUUGCUGGGAACGGCGGCCCUGGGCGCGUUGUUCCUGAGGACGCCGCUGCCGGCCGAGGCGCGUGAGGUCGUGGUCGGCAAGUUCCUGCCGCCGGUGCCGUCCAGCCCGGGCUUCGUCUUCUUCAAGGCGUCCACCAAGGACACCCCUGCUCUCCGGGCCGGUGAUGAUUCGAUCCCUUCUUGCAUUGCAUUGCUCGCUAGUGCACUAAUUCCUGAUUUAAUCAGUCGUCCCAGUAGUUUUGGAGAGGACAGUCCUGAUUUGGUUUUGGGACAUUGAGAAGAAGACCCAAUUAAUUCAUCAGCUGAG